GAUUUCAUAAAUGUUUUUAUGCUUAAUAGUUUUUUAAAAUAUUUAUGGAAGUGAUACGCUUUUGUUCUUUAGGUUAUCUAGUUUAGUUUUUUUAAAGGGGAAACCUUUUUAAUUUUUUUUUGUUUUUUGGUGUUGUGUUUCUUUUUUAAUAGUAAAUGAUUGUGUAAUAACUUUUGUUUUUGCGGAUAAAAUUUUAUUUGUUUUAUUAUAUAAAUAAUUAAUUAAUAGAUUAGUAGAUAUUUUAAUUUUUUUAUUAUUUUUUGUUUUUUAUUUAAUUUUAGAUUAUUUUUGUUUACUGAUUUUCCUUUAGACUGGUUAAUAAAACCAUAGCUGUAAGAUUUACAGUUGUUUCUGCUCUAUGCGAGAAGUAAAUGGCUGUUUUUGACACUAAGGUAGCAAAGUCAUUAGUUAUUUAAUUGGUAACUUGUAUGAAUGAAUUUUCUAGGGGGAUAUUAAUUUUUCUUUUGAAUUUAUAAAUUUGUUGAAAAUAACAAUUUUUUCUAUAAGACUAAAAGACCCUAAAAUUUUUAUAACUAAGUUUUGAAAAGUUAUUUGGUUGGGGCAAUAAUAAAAAGUUAAUAUUAUAAGAUUUAUUUUUUAUUGAACUUUUUUUAUUGAUAAGAGGAAAAAUACUUUAGGGAUAACAGCUUAAUUGUUUUUAAGAGUUCUUAUUAUUGAAAUAGGUUUAGACCUCGAUGUUGGAUUGGGAGAGCUUUUUGGGGCAG
rnacentral:rRNA from 1 species